rnacentral:lncRNA from 1 species
GCAAUGAUAGUGUAACAUGACACUAUUAGUGCCAUGUGUCACAAUAGUGUCACAUGUUACUGCCAAAUCACGUGUCAUUGCAUUUGUCUCAAUUUGGUCCCUAUAUUUUUAUUUUGUUUUCAACUUGGUCCUUACAUUAAAUGGUUAAAAGAUUAAAUUAAAUAUAGUAUUUUGCUUGAAAGGGUUUCGAAAAAGUUGACGCACGAAUAAUUUUAGAAGUUGUUGAUAAAU